UACGUAGGGGGCAAGCGUUGUCCGGAUUUAUUGGGCGUAAAGAGCGUGUAGGCGGCCAGACAGGUCCGUUGUGAAAACUCGAGGCUCAACCUCGAAAUGUCGAUGGAAACCGUCUGGCUAGAGUCCGGAAGAGGAGUGUGGAAUUCCUGGUGUAGCGGUGAAAUGCGCAGAUAUCAGGAAGAACACCUAUGGCGAAGGCAGCACUCUGGGACGGUACUGACGCUGAGACGCGAAAGCGUGGGGAGCGAACAGG
rnacentral:rRNA from 1 species